rnacentral:rRNA from 1 species
UUACGGAUUUAUCUUUAUAGCUUGCUGUAAAAAUAAUUAGUGGCAGACGGGUGAGUAAUGCAUAGGAAUCUACCCAAUAGUAUAGGAUAGCCUCUGGAAACGGUGGGUAAUACUGUAUAAUCCCUGCGGGGGAAAGAUUUAUCGCUAAUGGAUGAGCCUAUGUUAGAUUAGCUAGUUGGUGGGGUAAUGGCCUACCAAGGCUGUGAUCUAUAGCUGGUCUGAGAGGAUGAUCAGCCACACUGGAACUGAGACACGGUCCAGACUCCUACGGGAGGCAGCAGUGGGGAAUAUUGGACAAUGGGCGCAAGCCUGAUCCAGCUAUGCCGCGUGAGUGAUGAAGGCCUUAGGGUUGUAAAACUCUUUCAGCAGGGAAGAUAAUGACGGUACCUGCAUAAGAAGUCCCGGCAAACUCCGUGCCAGCAGCCGCGGUAAUACGGAGGGUGCAAGCGUUGUUUCGGAAUUAUUGGGCGUAAAGGGCAUGUAGGCGGUUCGGUAAGUUAAAGGUGAAAUGCCAGGGCUUAACCCUGGAGCUGCUUU